GAGGGUAUAGCUCAACUGGUAAAAUGCAUGCUUGCUUAGCAUGCGUGAGGUCCUGGGUUCAACCCCCAGUAUCUCCU
rnacentral:tRNA from 1 species